rnacentral:piRNA from 1 species
UNCACAUGUUGCCUCUAGUGAGCCUUCACA